UACGUAGGUGGCAAGCGUUGUCCGGAUUUACUGGGCGUAAAGAGCGCGCAGGCGGUCGUUCAAGUCGCGUGUGAAAGCCCCCGGCUCAACUGGGGAGGGUCACGCGAUACUGAUCGACUGGAAGGCAGGAGAGGGUAGUGGAAUCCCCGGUGUAGUGGUGAAAUGCGUAGAUAUCGGGAGGAACACCAGUGGCGAAGGCGACUACCUGGCCUGUUCUUGACGCUGAGGCGCGAAAGCUAGGGGAGCAAACGGG
rnacentral:rRNA from 1 species